rnacentral:rRNA from 1 species
UACGUAGGGUGCAAGCGUUGUCCGGAAUUACUGGGCGUAAAGAGCUCGUAGGCGGUUUGUCGCGUCGUCUGUGAAAACUCGAGGCUCAACCUCGAGCUUGCAGGCGAUACGGGCAGACUUGAGUACUGCAGGGGAGACUGGAAUUCCUGGUGUAGCGGUGAAAUGCGCAGAUAUCAGGAGGAACACCGGUGGCGAAGGCGGGUCUCUGGGCAGUAACUGACGC